GACGAACGCUGGCGGCGUGCUUAACACAUGCAAGUCGAGCGGUAAGGCCCUUUCGGGGGUACACGAGCGGCGAACGGGUGAGUAACACGUGGGUGACCUGCCCUCAGCUCUGGGAUAAGCCCGGGAAACUGGGUCUAAUACUGGAUAUGACUCCAUGACGCAUGUUGUGGGGUGGAAAGCCUUGUGCGGCUGAGGAUGGGCCCGCGGCCUAUCAGCUUGUUGGUGGGGNGAUGGCCUACCAAGGCGACGACGGGUAGCCGGCCUGAGAGGGCGACCGGCCACACUGGGACUGAGACACGGCCCAGACCCCUACGGGAGGCAGCAGUGGGGAAUCUUGCGCAAUGGGCGAAAGCCUGACGCAGCGACGCCGCGUGAGGGAUGACGGCCUCGGUUGUAACUACUUC
rnacentral:rRNA from 1 species